CUACGGGGGGCAGCAGUCGAGAAUCUUUCGCAAUGGCCGAAAGGCUGACGAAGCAAUACCGCGUGAAGGAUGACACCCCUCGGGGCGUAAACUUCUUUUCUUAGGGAAGAAUUAGUGACGUUACCUAAGGAAUAAGCAACUGCUAACUUCGUGCCAGCAGCAGCGGUAAUACGAAGGUUGCAAGCGUUAUCCGGAAUUAUUGGGCGUAAAGCGUCUGUAGGUGGUUUGUUAAGUCUCAAAUUAAAACUCUAGGCUCAACCUAGAGAUAGUUUGAGAAACUAAUAAACUAGAGGAUGGGAGAGGUAAGCGGAAUGGCCGGUGUAGUAGUAAUAUGCAUUGAUAUCGGCUAGAACACCAAAUGCAAAGGCAGCUUACUAGAACAUUCCUGACACUGAGAGACGAAAGCGUGGGUAGCGAAUGGGAUUAGAUACCCUAGUAGUC
rnacentral:rRNA from 1 species